AAGAGACAGGACUGUGGGUGAUAAGAUUCAUAGUCGAAAGGGCAACAGCCCAGAUCGUCAGCUAAGGUCCCUAAAGGUAAGUUAAGUGGUAAAGGAUGUGGGAUUGAACAGACAACCAGGAUGUUGGCUUAGAAGCAGCCACUCAUUCAAAGAGUGCGUAAUAGCUCACUGGUCGAGUGAUCCGGCGCCGAAGAUUUCCGGGGCUAAAACUUACUACCGAAGCUACGGCAUCAGUAAUGAUGGGUAGGGGAGCUUCCCAUACGGGUUGAAGCA
rnacentral:rRNA from 1 species